AAAGUGACGGCUUCCUGGAGUUCCACCUCUGCUGAGAAACCCCUCACCGAGCUUCCCUUUCUGUCUGGUUCUGUUGAACGGAAAAUGACGUCUGCUUCCCACUCCCUGAAACUUCUCUUCAGGGUUCCUGUCAUUGGCUCAAGCUGUGGGAGAAGGCGUGUGAGACCCAGGCCUUCCGGAGGCUUCCAGAGUACAGCAAUCCCACGGACAGGAGACAGAACUGCCUGUGGAGAAUUGCAUUAUAGCCAAGCGCCAGGAUAUAUAUUUAUCUGUGCCUGACAUUCUCAUCUCUUUUUAAAGGAAAAGCCACACAUUUGGCCAAAAGAUGAAGUGGAAAAAAUGUACUGUUGAACAAAUAUCCAGGAUGGUUGCUCAGAAUGUAUAAAACGAUGAACUGUGUGGAAAAAUCAUGCCUGUGGCAAAUUGUCAGCAGGCUAUAUUUGGGGGUCCGAAUGCAAGGCCCCUGCCAACUGAGUUCACAUAGCCCCAGUGUUUUUCCACUUCUAUUUAUAGCGAUGCACACAUUCACACACAAAAAAUGCAGAGGACAUUGGACUUCGUUUUUAAAUGAUGAAAAUGUUCUAAAUGUAUCUGGUUUCAGCACGUGAGAGCCGCUCUGCUGUCUACGAUUAGCUUUGCUUACUGAAGAAGGGAUUAAUCAACGUGGGGAAAACAACAUAAUAUGAUCCUUUGGGAAUCUGAAAGUCUGAAAACAACUUUUUUCUCUAUUUCCUUUUAAAAAUGUAAUUCACUUCAACAAAACUUUAUUGAGCACCAACGAUGCAAAAAGUUAACUUGGGACCUAAAUACAAGCAAGACACACUCUCUGGCCACAAGAAGCUGGCAGUUUUCAGAGGGAGGUACAGAUACUGAAAUAAAACCCAUGGCAAGGAUGGUCUGUGCCUUAAUAGAACCGCGGACAAAUGUAUCAGGCACACAGAAGAGGGUGUGAAAGAAAUGGACAUCUGAUUGUUGUCUCUCAGCCUCCAUUCCUCCUGCCCCUUUUCCAGCAGCCAUUGCUUCUAGUUGGAGAACCACGUGUUUCCAGCGAGGGAGAUUCUUCUUUCCAGCUUCAGAUGUUGAAAGGGAGACCUGGCUUGGCCAAUCAGGGCAGCCAUGCCCCUGGGCACAGUGAUAGGUUCAGGCCCACCCCGAGCUGGACCAAUCAGAGUGAAGACUGAGACUUUGGCAGGGAAUGCUGAAACAAAGGCUGAGCCUUAGUGUUGGAUUUGAAGGAAGAAGCCCCAGGAGCUGCUGAGAGCUGUUUUGUAACCAUGAGGCCGAAUUUUGACAGUGUUUCUUGCGCAUUCUUCACCAUCAUUUGUAGCCACCUUGGCAGCGUCUGUAGACAAGAAGAUAAGGGACUUUCAAACCUACCCAUGAAGAGGAAGUGGCCCCAGAGUUCAGAUAAAGUCCUGCCGUAUACGGGCUGUAUAAAUGCAAUUUGACAACUUGAGAUUUUAAGUCUUAAGAAUCUUUCAAUUUCUCAGGCUCUGGCAGGAGUAAGAGAAUAUCCUGGAUGUUUAUAAAAUUCGAUGACCUUUUAAAUCCAUCCCACUUGAAGGAAGAGCUAGAUUUCUGGACCCCCAUUUUCUGAGGCUUUCCAGGGUGGACGCAUGCCAUCAGCUCCCCCUGCAGGUCUGAAUCUGUCCUGCCAGGGAAUUCCUGAGAUCCACUGAGAAAGUGGAUUCUGGAAGGGCUCUGAAUUGUGUCGCACAGAUGAAAUGCUUCUGCUGCUUGGAGAUGACCCACCUUUCUGCUGGAAGCCACACGUCCUGGGAAUGCACCAAAGUCUGAGGCUGUCAGUACCUUACUAUGCUGCAGGAAGACAAAUCCCACCUAAAACUUCAGUGCCCAGGCAGGACCUUCCUUGCGCUAAAUGCACUUUAGAAUAUUUGAUUUUCUAUUCUUUGUAAGCACUGUGGCCCUGUGGUAAAUCCAUCACAGAUAAAAUGGCCUCUACAUGAGCCAUGUGCUAAAAAAUGAUAUGUAUACCCAUUGUGUGUUGAGUCUAAAAGUUGUUUCUCAAAAAGCUUUGGAUUGUCUAGAAUUUUAUAUGCGAGUCUGCUGAUUCAGUCAUUCAAUAAAUAUCGUGAUAGACA